UACGUAGGGGGCAAGCGUUGUCCGGAUUCAUUGGGCGUAAAGGGUGCGUAGGCGGCGCGGUAAGUCGGGUGUGAAAUUUCGAGGCUUAACUUCGAAACUGCAUUCGAUACUGCCGUGCUUGAGGACUGGAGAGGAGACUGGAAUUUACGGUGUAGCGGUGAAAUGCGUAGAUAUCGUAAGGAAGACCAGUGGCGAAGGCGGGUCUCUGGACAGUUCCUGACGCUGAGGCACGAAGGCCAGGGGAGCAAACGGG
rnacentral:rRNA from 1 species